rnacentral:rRNA from 1 species
GUAUAAGCAAUCUAUACCGUGAAACUGCGAAUGGCUCAUUAAAUCAGUUAUCGUUUAUUUGAUAGUACCUUACUACUUGGAUAACCGUGGUAAUUCUAGAGCUAAUACAUGCUAAAAACCCCGACUUCGGAAGGGGUGUAUUUAUUAGAUAAAAAACCAAUGCCCUUCGGGGCUCCUUGGUGAUUCAUAAUAACUUAACGAAUCGCAUGGCCUUGUGCCGGCGAUGGUUCAUUCAAAUUUCUGCCCUAUCAACUUUCGAUGGUAAGGUAUUGGCUUACCAUGGUUUCAACGGGUAACGGGGAAUUAGGGUUCUAUUCCGGAGAGGGAGCCUGAGAAACGGCUACCACAUCCAAGGAAGGCAGCAGGCGCGCAAAUUACCCAAUCCCGACACGGGGAGGUAGUGACAAUAAAUACUGAUACAGGGCUCUUUUGGGUCUUGUAAUUGGAAUGAGUACAAUUUAAAUCCCUUAACGAGGAACAAUUGGAGGGCAAGUCUGGUGCCAGCAGCCGCGGUAAUUCCAGCUCCAAUAGCGUAUAUUAAAGUUGUUGCAGUUAAAAAGCUCGUAGUUGAACCUUGGGCCUGGCUGGCCGGUCCGCCUCACCGCGUGCACUGGUCCGGCCGGGCCUUUCCUUCUGGGGAGCCGCAUGCCAUUCAUUUGGUGUGUCGGGGAUCCAGGACUUUUACUUUGAAAAAAUUAGAGUGUUCAAAGCAGGCCUAUGCUCGAAUACAUUAGCAUGGAAUAAUAGAAUAGGACGUGUGGUUCUAUUUUGUUGGUUUCUAGGACCGCCGUAAUGAUUAAUAGGGAUAGUCGGGGGCAUCAGUAUUCAAUUGUCAGAGGUGAAAUUCUUGGAUUUAUUGAAGACUAACUACUGCGAAAGCAUUUGCCAAGGAUGUUUUCAUUAAUCAGUGAACGAAAGUUAGGGGAUCGAAGACGAUCAGAUACCGUCGUAGUCUUAACCAUAAACUAUGCCGACUAGGGAUCGGGCGAUGUUAUCUUUUUGACUCGCUCGGCACCUUACGAGAAAUCAAAGUCUUUGGGUUCUGGGGG